CCUACGGGAGGCAGCAGUGGGGAAUAUUGGGCAAUGGGCGCAAGCCUGACCCAGCAACGCCGCGUGAAGGAAGAAGGCUUUCGGGUUGUAAACUUCUUUUAAGAGGGAAGAGCAGAAGACGGUACCUCUUGAAUAAGCCACGGCUAACUACGUGCCAGCAGCCGCGGUAAUACGUAGGUGGCAAGCGUUGUCCGGAUUUACUGGGUGUAAAGGGCGUGCAGCCGGGAAGACAAGUCAGAUGUGAAAUCCCGCGGCUCAACCGCGGAACUGCAUUUGAGACUGUUUUUCUUGAGUACCGGAGAGGUCAUCGGAAUUCCUAGUGUAGCAGUGAAAUGCGUAGAUAUAAGGAAGAACACCAGUGGCGAAGGCAGAUGACUGGACGGCAACUGACGGUGAGACGCGAAAGCGUGGGGAGCAAACAGGAUUAGAUACCCCUGUAGUC
rnacentral:rRNA from 1 species